UAAAGAUUUCCCCAAACAUAUCAGCUCAAAGAAAUGUCAAUGCAAACAUCGCUGUUCACGCAAUGAAUAUGCAGACUCAGCAUGCACCCAUGGUUUUCUCCACUGUUGUAAAAUGAGAGCUCCACCAUCGUAUCAUAAUUUCCCCAAAAUACCUCCGUAUCCUGUCAUCGCACCAGAUUUCCCCAAUAGUAUCAGCGCAAAGAAAUGUCAAUGCAAAAAACACUGUUCACACAAGGAAUAUGCAGACUCAGCAUGCACCCAUGGCUUUCGCCACUGUUGUAAAAUGAAAGUUCCAUCUUCGUUCCAUAAUGUCCCCAAAAUACCUCACUAUCCUGUCAUCGCACCAGAGAUACCUAAAAGCCAUGAUGAUGACUUUUUGAAAACGACCUUCCAAAAGUCUCUGAUUGUAAAGACCAUUUCAAGUUACGUCCCACCUUAUGAUAGCAAUUGUCGGGGUAGAUGCAGGAGACAAUGUGCCUAUGAUGAAUAUAGAAUCUCCUCACGUUCCUGCCUCAUUCGUGGCUUAGUCUACUGUUGUAAAGUGAAUGCGACAUGUCAAGGAACCUGUAAGAGAAGGUGUAUAGGGAGAGAAUAUCCAUCUGGAAACAAAUUCUGCCCUUAUUUUGGUCAUGUCUACUGCUGCAACCCAUAAGCUAAACUAUGGUAAAAUAGCAUGCAGUGGAAUUACCAAAAUGCAGCAGUCAUUCCAUAACGGUGGAUCACUUCGACAGCAUCAGUCUCACAAACAUGAUACAUUGAAAAUUGAUUGUGAAGAAUCUCCAAGACUUUUUGAAAGUCUUCCAGAAAUUAACUCUCCCAUUCCUUUAUACAAAUGCUUUAACUUACUGCUCUUAAUAAAACCAAAUCUGUUGUGCAG
rnacentral:lncRNA from 11 species